AAAAGUAUGAUGAAGCUAUGCUCAUUCUUUAAUUGGCAUUGCUCUCUGGCUUCGGUCAUUCAAAAAGAUAAUGUGCUUUCUUAAAAAAUAAAAAAAACCUUACAGAUUUAAAAAAAAGUUCUAAAUAUUGAAGCAAUAGCUUUCAAUGUUGUUUCUCUUUGCAGGUUCGAAAAUAAUUAUAAUAAUUGUACGUAUUCAUGCCCGCUGACACAUCAAGAAUUACUAUCGCAGAAAAUGGAUACAAAACUAAAUCGCGCUUAACCGUUCGGUCCGUAUCUAACAUUGACCGACUAGCGUAAAUAAAGCGCUAUAAACAUAGCACUCCCCAUGGAACAUACGGUACAAAAUGCAGAGGGAAGCGAAGUCUCUCCGCAGGCUCAGAGGUUCCGAACGAACGAUGUGUCUGAAGAAGCUCAUAACACGUUCCCGGCAUAUGGCAGAGAGCCUUUUUCGGAUGUUUAGCUCCCUUACAAUACAGUAUAUAUAACAUUAAAUAUAUAAAUUUUAGAGUAUUCUUAAAGAGAAGAAAAUCGCAUUGCGUUUAAAAUAGAUUUAAAAUGAAACCGAUUCAAAUUUUCUUUACUAACCGAAACAAAAGAAGCGUAAUACAAAAUAGAGAAUCAUUCGUCGUAAUAAUAAAUCGCUUACGAAUUCAGUUUACGGGCCAUUACCGUGCAAAUAGCAAUUUCAUUCAGUAAUUACGUUUGCGUUGGACCGAUUCGUUUUUCAUUUGUCCCCGUAAAAAGUAUUUCGCCGCGUAUUUAAAAAAAAUGUUGCCAGCGUGCUUAGUGAGAGCGAUUCGCUUUGGCUCAGACUAGGAACAAAGGUGUGGCCGCAACGCAAUAUUGUCGUUACCAAUUCACGAGCUUUUUAACGUCUUCUUUUAUUAUUAUCCUACGCGGGGCUCAUGCCGUUUUCUUUUGAUAAAUGAAGGAGAAAAUUAAAAGGAAAUGAGAGAUUUGUUUGCGACAAAGAAUAUUGUCGAUCAAGGCCUACUCAAGCCUGCUUGGAUUAGCUACUAGAAGAAAAACUAAGGGACGAUCGGGGAAAGACUAGUCAGGCGAAAAGUGAACAUCAUUUAUUUUAGUUGACGCAUUUAACGGAAUCAAAAAUUUUUUUUUUAUAUUUAGUUUGGUAAGAUAUCAUCAGUGAUCUAGAGGCAAUAAUUUAGGAUGAUGAACCGGCUUUUUUAAGAUAUUUCUAGUAAUUCCCGGUAUGUCAUCUGUAGUAGCAGCAAAUCAAUACUAAAUAAUGACAACGCAUUUCAAAACUUAAAAAAAAUGUAUGAUAUUCGCGUGUAGAAUUAAAAACAAAAAGACAUCGAAUUCUUUUGGCCAUUCAAAUACAAAAUUACACUAUUUUAUCGUUACAGUGUGUACUUUAUUUUAUAGGUCAUAUACUUAAUUAAUUUCCCAAGUGGCGGGUAUUAUUACUGCAAUAAAAGUAAUAAUUUGUCGUAAGAAUGGUCGCCCGCUGGCGCCGCCCAGCGAUUUACAAAACGGAAAAGUUUUACUCUGAAUUUCUUUUGUUUUGGAUGUGUGGACGAUAUGACGGCCCAGUUUGUGGUAGAUGGUUAGAGAUAGAGAGAGAGGAAGAGAGAGAAUAUACUUUAUUGCAUAUAAAAACACAAUUAUACAUUUAAAAAACAGUCAACAAGUAGAUAUAAUUGUACUAUAGGCGGUCUUAUCGCUAAAAGCAAUCUCUUCUAGACAACCGAUUUAUUUACAGAAAUUCUGAAAAGAUAAAGAUAC